GAUCUGGCUCAGGAUGAACGCUAGCUACAGGCUUAACACAUGCAAGUCGAGGGGCAGCAUGGUCUUAGCUUGCUAAGGCCGAUGGCGACCGGCGCACGGGUGAGUAACGCGUAUCCAACCUGCCUUACACUCUUGGACAGCCUUCUGAAAGGGAGAUUAAUACAAGAUGUUAUCAUGGGUAAGCAUUUUCACAUGAUUAAAGGUUUACCGGUGUAAGAUGGGGAUGCGUUCCAUUAG
rnacentral:rRNA from 1 species